rnacentral:rRNA from 1 species
GUUGUAUAGUUAAGUGAGAAAGCGUACAGGGCGGAUGCCUUGGCAAUCAGAGGCGAAGAAGGACGUGCUAAUCUGCGAAAAGCGUGGGUGAGUUGAUAAGAAGCGUUUAACCCACGAUGUCCGAAUGGGGAAACCCGAUAGGCGAAGAGCCUAUCAUUGCGAGGUGAAUAAAAUAGCCUCGUAAGGCGAACCGGGAGAACUGAAACAUCUAAGUACCCCGAGGAAAAGAAAUCAACCGAGAUUCUGUGAGUAGCGGCGAGCGAAAGCGGAGGAGCCAGUAAGUAAUAGCAGCAGAGAUAGAGGAAUUGUCUGGGAAGGCAAGCGACACAGGGUGAUAGCCCCGUACUUAAAAUCCAGGCUGUGGUACUAAGCUUACGAGAAGUAGGGCGGGACACGAGGAAUCCUGUCUGAAGAUGGGGGGACCAUCCUCCAAGGCUAAAUACUCCUGAUUGACCGAUAGUGAACCAGUACUGUGAAGGAAAGGCGAAAAGAACCCCGGUGAGGGGAGUGAAAUAGAACCUGAAACCCUGUACGUACAAGCAGUGGGAGCCCGCAAGGGUGACUGCGUACCUUUUGUAUAAUGGGUCAGCGACUUAUAUUUUGUAGCGAGGUUAACUGAAUAAGGGAGCCGAAGGGAAACCGAGUCUUAACUGGGCGGUGAGUUGCAAGGUAUAGACCCGAAACCCGGUGAUCUAGCCAUGGGCAGGUUGAAGGUUGGGUAACACUAACUGGAGGACCGAACCGACUAAUGUUGAAAAAUUAGCGGAUGACCUGUGGCUGGGGGUGAAAGGCCAAUCAAACCGGGAGAUAGCUGGUUCUCCCCGAAAUCUAUUUAGGUAGAGCCUUGUGUGAAUACCUUUGGGGGUAGAGCACUGUUUCGGCUAGGGGCCCAUCCCGGGUUACCAAACCGAUGCAAACUCCGAAUACCAAAGAGUAAUGCACAGGAGACACACGGCGGGUGCUAACGUCCGUCGUGGAGAGGGAAACAACCCAGACCGCCAGCUAAGGUCCCAAAAUCUAUAUUAAGUGGGAAACGAAGUGGGAAGGCUUAGACAGCUAGGAUGUUGGCUUAGAAGCAGCCACCAUUUAAAGAAAGCGUAAUAGCUCACUAGUCGAGUCGGCCUGCGCGGAAGAUGUAACGGGGCUAAAAUAUAGUACCGAAGCUGCGGCAUCAAUCGAAGGAUUGUUGGGUAGGGGAGCGUUGUGUAAGCGGAAGAAGGUGGUUCGAGAGGAUUGCUGGACGUAUCACAAGUGCGAAUGCUGACAUAAGUAACGAUAAAACGGGUGAAAAACCCGUUCGCCGGAAGACCAAGGGUUCCUGUCCAACGUUAAUCGGGGCAGGGUGAGUCGGCCCCUAAGGCGAGGCUGAAAAGCGUAGUCGAUGGGAAACGGGUUAAUAUUCCCGUACUUGGUAAAGCUGCGAUGUGGGGACGGAGAAGGUUAGGUUAUCGACCUGUUGGAGAUGGUCGUUUAAGUUGGUAGGUGGGUGAGUUAGGCAAAUCCGGCUCACCGUUAACACUGAGAGAUGAUGACGAGGCACUAAGGUGCUGAAGUAACUGAUACCACACUUCCAGGAAAAGCCACUAAGCUUCAGGCUUUACUAAACCGUACUGAAAACCGACACAGGUGGUCAGGUAGAGAAUACUCAGGCGCUUGAGAGAACUCGGGUGAAGGAACUAGGCAAAAUAGCACCGUAACUUCGGGAGAAGGUGUGCCGGCGUAGAUUGUAGUGACUUGCUCACGAAGGUUGAACCGGUCGAAGAUACCAGCUGGCUGCAACUGUUUAUUAAAAACACAGCACUCUGCAAACACGAAAGUGGACGUAUAGGGUGUGAUGCCUGCCCGGUGCUGGAAGGUUAAUUGAUGGUGUAAUCGAAAGAGAAGCUCCUGAUCGAAGCCCCAGUAAACGGCGGCCGUAACUAUAACGGUCCUAAGGUAGCGAAAUUCCUUGUCGGGUAAGUUCCGACCUGCACGAAUGGCAUAAUGAUGGCCAGGCUGUCUCCACCCGAGACUCAGUGAAAUUGAAAUCGCCGUGAAGAUGCGGUGUACCCGCGGCUAGACGGAAAGACCCCGUGAACCUUUACUAUAGCUUGACACUGAACCUUGAAUUUUGAUGUGUAGGAUAGGUGGGAGACUAUGAAGCGGUAACGCCAGUUAUCGUGGAGUCGUUGUUGAAAUACCACCCUUUAACGUUUGAUGUUCUAACGAAGUGCCUGAAACGGGUACUCGGACAGUGUCUGGUGGGUAGUUUGACUGGGGCGGUCUCCUCCCAAAGUGUAACGGAGGAGCACGAAGGUUUGCUAAUGACGGUCGGACAUCGUCAGGUUAGUGCAAUGGUAUAAGCAAGCUUAACUGCGAGACAGACAAGUCGAGCAGGUGCGAAAGCAGGUCAUAGUGAUCCGGUGGUUCUGAAUGGAAGGGCCAUCGCUCAACGGAUAAAAGGUACUCCGGGGAUAACAGGCUGAUACCGCCCAAGAGUUCAUAUCGACGGCGGUGUUUGGCACCUCGAUGUCGGCUCAUCACAUCCUGGGGCUGAAGUAGGUCCCAAGGGUAUGGCUGUUCGCCAUUUAAAGUGGUACGCGAGCUGGGUUUAGAACGUCGUGAGACAGUUCGGUCCCUAUCUGCCGUGGGCGUUGGAGAAUUGAGAGGGGCUGCUCCUAGUACGAGAGGACCGGAGUGGACGCAUCACUGGUGUACCAGUUGUCUCGCCAGAGGCAUUGCUGGGUAGCUAAAUGCGGAAGAGAUAAGUGCUGAAAGCAUCUAAGCACGAAACUUGCCUUGAGAUGAGUUCUCCCAGUCUAUAAGACUGUAAGGGUUGUUGGAGACUACGACGUAGAUAGGCUGGGUGUGUAAGCGGUGUGAGCCGUUGAGCUAACCAGUACUAAUUGCCCGAGAGGCUUAACUAUACAACGCUCAAGGGUUUUG